rnacentral:rRNA from 1 species
AAUACUUAGGAAUCUGCCCAUUAAUGGGGGACAACAGUUGGAAACGACUGCUAAUACCGCAUACGCCCUACGGGGGAAAGCAGGGGAUCUUCGGACCUUGCGUUAAUGGAUGAGCCUAAGUCGGAUUAGCUAGUUGGUGGGGUAAAGGCCUACCAAGGCGACGAUCUGUAGCGGGUCUGAGAGGAUGAUCCGCCACACUGGGACUGAGACACGGCCCAGACUCCUACGGGAGGCAGCAGUGGGGAAUAUUGGACAAUGGGGGGAACCCUGAUCCAGCCAUGCCGCGUGUGUGAAGAAGGCCUUUUGGUUGUAAAGCACUUUAAGCGAGGAGGAGGCUACUAGUAUUAAUACUACUGGAUAGUGGACGUUACUCGCAGAAUAAGCACCGGCUAACUCUGUGCCAGCAGCCGCGGUAAUACAGAGGAUGCGAGCGUUAAUCGGAUUUACUGGGCGUAAAGCGUGCGUAGGUGGCCAAUUAAGUCAAAUGUGAAAUCCCCGAGCUUAACUUGGGAAUUGCAUUCGAUACUGGUUGGCUAGAGUAUGGGAGAGGAUGGUAGAAUUCCAGGUGUAGCGGUGAAAUGCGUAGAGAUCUGGAGG